GAUGAUGAACGUAGCGAAAUGCGAUAAGUAAUGUGAAUUGCAGAAUUCAGUGAACCAUCGAAUCUUUGAACGCACAUUGCGCCCGGCAGUAAUCUGCCGGGCAUGCCUGUCCGAGCGUCAUUUCUGCCCUCGAGCCUGUCCAGCAUCUAGGUGCUGUUCCGGCCCGGCGUUGGGGCACUACGGGAAGCCUCGUGCUAUCCCCCGUAGGCCCCGAAAUGAAGUGGCGGUCCUGCCGCGGCUCCCCCUGCGUAGUAUUACAGCUCGCUUCGGGACCCGGUGGAGGCCUGCCGUCAAACCUUACUCUCUAAGUUUGACCUCGGAUCAGGUAGGGUUACCCGCUGAACUUAAGCAUAUCAAUAAGCGGAGGA
rnacentral:misc_RNA from 1 species